UGCUGAUCCUGAAGUUGCAGUAGAAUUUCUUGCAAAGCACUGUCAAUGGGCUGUUGUGACAUUAGGCGCGAAUGGUUGUAUCGCUAAGCAUGGAAAAGAGAUAGUUCGAGUUCCAGCAAUAGGGGAAUCAAAGGCGACCGAUGCCACUGGAGCAGGCGACUUGUUUGCGAGCGGAUUUUUGUACGGAUUAGUAAAGGGGUUGUCUCUGGA
rnacentral:misc_RNA from 1 species